UGAAUACGAGAUGCUACGGCGUCGAAGCAGUGUAUGUCAGACUUCCAAGAAAAGCUCGCAAUGUCAUAAGUAAAGAAUGCCUGUACCAUAACCGACACAGGUGGGUAGGUAGAGUAUACUAAGGGGCGCGAGAUAACUCUCUCUAAGGAACUCGGCAAAAUAACUCCGUAACUUCGGGAGAAGGAGUGCCUUCUUUAAGAAGGUUGCAAUAACAAGAUCCAAGCAACUGUUUAUCAAAAACACAGGUCUCCGCUAAGUCGUAAGACGAUGUAUGGGGGCUGACGCCUGCCCAGUGCCAGAAGGUUAAAGAAGUUGGUUAGCUUUUGCGAAGCUGAUGACUGAAGCCCUGGUGAACGGCGGCCGUAACUAUAACGGUCCUAAGGUAGCGAAAUUCCUUGUCGGGUAAGUUCCGAUCCGCACGAAAGGCGUAAUGAUUUGGAUACUGUCUCGGAGAGGGACUCGGUGAAAUAGACUUGUCUGUGAAGAUGCGGACUACCUGCACCAGGACAGAAAGACCCUAUGAAGCUUUACUGUAACUUGAAAUUGAAAUUGGACUUUAUUUGCGCAGUAUAGGUGGAAGGCGUUGAAAGUAAUCUUGCGGGAUUAGUGGAGCCAUCAGUGAGAUACCACUCCUAUAAUGUUAGAUUUCUAACUUUGGAUCAUGAUCUGGUCAAAGAACAGUUUCAGGCGGGCAGUUUGACUGGGGCGGUCGCCUCCCAAAUGGUAACGGAGGCGUACAAAGGUUUCCUCUGAACGGGUAGAAAUCGUAUCUAGAGUGUAAAGGCAUAAGGAAGCUUGACUGUGAGACCUACAAGUCGAGCAGGGACGAAAGUCGGUCUUAGUGAUCUGACGGUGCUGAGUGGAAAGGCCGUCACUCAACGGAUAAAAGUUACUCUAAGGAUAACAGGCUGAUCUCCCCCAAGAGUUCACAUCGACGGGGAGGUUUGGCACCUCGAUGUCGGCUCAUCGCAUCCUGGGGCGGUAGUACGUCCCAAGGGUUGGGCUGUUCGCCCAUGAGAGCGGUACGCGAGCUGGGUUCAGAACGUCGUGAGACAGUUCGGUCCAUAUCCGGUGUAGGCGUUAGAAUAUUGAGAGGAGCCUUCUUUAGUACGAGAGGACCGAGAAGGACAUACCUCUGGUGUACCAGUUAUCGUGCCAACGGUAAACGCUGGGUAGCUAUGUAUGGAGAGAUAACCGCUGAAAGCAUCUAAGUGGGAAGCCCACCUCAAGAUGAGUAUUCUG
rnacentral:rRNA from 1 species